UGAGGAAUAUUGGUCAAUGGGCGAGAGCCUGAACCAGCCAAGUAGCGUGCAGGAUGACGGCCCUAUGGGUUGUAAACUGCUUUUAUAUGGGAAUAAAGUGAGGGACGUGUCCCUUAUUGCAUGUACCAUACGAAUAAGGACCGGCUAAUUCCGUGCCAGCAGCCGCGGUAAUACGGAAGGUCCAGGCGUUAUCCGGAUUUAUUGGGUUUAAAGGGAGCGUAGGCUGUUUGUUAAGCGUGUUGUGAAAUGUAAGAGCUCAACUUUUAGAUUGCAGCGCGAACUGGCUGACUUGAGUGCGCACAACGUAGGCGGAAUUCAUGGUGUAGCGGUGAAAUGCUUAGAUAUCAUGACGAACUCCGAUUGCGAAGGCAGCUUACGGGAGCGCAACUGACGCUAAAGCUCGAAGGUGCGGGUAUCGAACAGG
rnacentral:rRNA from 1 species